rnacentral:rRNA from 1 species
CCUACGGGGCGCAGCAGUGGGGGAUAUUGGACAAUGGGGGAAACCCUGAUCCAGCGAUGCCGCGUGAGGGAAGAAGGUUUUCGGAUUGUAAACCUCUGUGGAGGGGGACGAUAAUGACAGUACCUGACCAAGAAGCCCCGGCUAACUACGUGCCAGCAGCCGCGGUAAUACGUAGGGGGCAAGCGUUAUCCGGAUUCACUGGGCGUAAAGGGAGCGCAGGCGGCACGGCAAGUCUGAUGUGAAAACCCGGGGCUCAACCCCGGGACUGCAUUGGAAACUGCCGGGCUGGAGUGCCGGAGGGGCAA